GCGGAACUACAUGUCCCACCGAUCUAUUCAGACGCUGAUCCAAUGGAAGAAUGACAGCGAGGUAGAAAGUAUAGUUUCUACAAUAGAAAAGAGAAACAAAUGGCUAAUGUUUACUUUUUGCGAGCGGUGUGCACACACAGAAGAAGGCUGGUGUUCCAGUACAAAACCCAAUUCUCGCUACACUGUUCCGCACGACCCCAAAUCUGUAACUCGUUUCGUGAGAGGCCUGGAAUUGUAGGAGUCACUACUUGUCCGCUGCAAAAGCAGCACUCACUUUACUUCGUUAGCACGGUUCCCUGGCGGUGCAUUUUCACAGAGACUAAAUUGAGAAAUCCAGCUCCGGGGAAGAAGCAAGAAAACAAAGUAUCAUUGAGAAAGAGUACCCCGCCCGCAUCAACAACUCAGAAAGUAAAAGAAGCUGGAAAAGACUUUACCUAUCUCCUAGUUGUCUUGGUUGGGAUUGGCAUAACUGGAGGUUUAUUCUAUGUAAUAUUUCAAGAGCUGUUCUCCUCCUCAAGUCCCAGUAAAUUAUAUGGAGAAGCUCUGAAGAAGUGUAGAGCACACCCUGAGAUAAUUGGAGCACUGGGAGAACCUAUAAAAGGUUAUGGAGAGAUGACUCGGCGAGGUCGAAGACAACAUGUCAGUCAUGUGGAAUAUAUGAAGGAUGGUGUGAAACAUAUACAACUCAAAUUUUAUAUUCAGGGCACGGAACCUAUUAAGGGAACAGUUCACUUGGAUGCAAAAGAGAACUCUGAAAGUGGACGAUUUGAUUUUCGUUACAUAUUUGUGGACUUCGACACCUAUCCCAAAAGGACAAUCAUUAUUGAAGACAACCGCUAAAGAAGCUGAUUGCUUUUAUUUCCAUAAGCUGAUAUGACAACAGUGAUUUCUUUCGGCUUUCAUAGAUUGAAUAAAUCAUGUGAAUGAGAAAUGAAUCGCGCAAUUAGUCAUCCUUUUUAGGUGCUGUCAUCCGAACUUAUUCUUGUAGAGGAUCAGAGUCAGGUCUGAGACCUAAAUUGGAUAUGCACCAUAGAUUGAAUAGGAAGGAAUAUGAGAGAUGGUCAUUUCUCAACCCCUGUCUGGCAGUAAGGGAUACAUCACGCUUCAAAGCCAUGCAAAUAUUCUCAUCCUCAUCAAGGCUUCAAAUCAGGCAUCCAUGCUUGAAAGAAAAAAUGCAAUAUUUUUACUUUCCUCACCGGAAAAGGCUAAAUAAAG